rnacentral:lncRNA from 1 species
UCUAUCUGACUUAUAUGUAUUGUGGUCAAUUAUAGAUUGUAAAAGCAUCUCUCUUCUUCUUCUUUUCUUAUAUAAAAAAUUCCUUAUUCUUUUGAAUUUAUAGUUUAUAAUUUGGUUGGUGGUCAGAUAUUCUCAAACUGGAAUCUACGACUAAGAAUAAAGAAAAAAAAAAAAAAAAAAAGAACCUCUAAACAUUUCUUUUGGACUUGGGUCUGAUAUAAAUAAAUUGUUAUGAACUUGGGCUCUAGACAUUCUUAGCCCAAACUCUGAGACUACAAAAUUAUUUCCGAAGAAGUUAUGUGGGCUACUGGGCUUUAAUUGUGAAGGAACAAUUGCUAUACAAUCGCAGAACCAUUUUGUCAACGAUAAAUCAUUUUUUUUUUUAGGGUGUUUCUCCCAUAGAAAAAGCAAAGUGAAUAAUAUUAGAGAUCUCAUAAUAUUAUAGUUAUCCAAAGCAAGCAGGGCGGUUUACAUAAAAAAGAUCAUGUCGGUC